rnacentral:rRNA from 1 species
UACAGAGGGGGCAAGCGUUGUUCGGAAUUACUGGGCGUAAAGGGCGCGUAGGCGGCCUGUUAAGUCGAACGUGAAAUCCCCGGGCUCAACCCGGGAACUGCGUCCGAUACUGGCAGGCUUGAAUCCGGGAGAGGGAUGCGGAAUUCCAGGUGUAGCGGUGAAAUGCGUAGAUAUCUGGAGGAACCCCGGUGGCGGAGGCGGCACUCUGGGCCGGAACUGACGCUGAGGAGCGAAAGCGUGGGGAGCGACCAGG